GAAAACCUCCCCCGUGGUUCGGCCGUGCGUGGAAAAGCGGCGGUUCCCGGUAAAGAGCCUCGAACCCGGCGCGGAAAUAUUGCGUCAUAGAAGGACCGCGAGGAGCCAGAUUCCGAAUCUCUGGAACCGCGGCUUUUGGACCUCGUCGGCCACCAUCCUUUCAGCUUCUGAGAGUUGUGUCCGCCGCGGGGGUUGAUCGCCGGGCUACUGACAUUGAGGCAAAGUGUUUAGAACAGCGGUAUCGUGAUUUGCCUCCAACGGUGAAGACGGAGUUCAUCCAUCAGUUGAGCAUUUUUGUCAUCUGCAAAUAAUGUUGACCAGAUAGCAAGUGAUGGGACUGAAGUAAGAAGAACCUGCUUCUGCCUCUGACCUGGGUUCUGGUAAUAGAAGAGGAAGAAGGAACAUUUCAGUAAUAGAAGAAGAAGAAGGUUCCAGGCUUGGGAGAUCAUCAUUUCUGGCAGCAGCCUGACCUGAGAUCUCUGACCACAACUUCCAGGCAGGCCCACAGAGAUAGAAGACAGAACACUAGAACACACCCUAGAGUUACAUGCCCUUUUUUUUUUUUUUUUUGGCCGAGCCCCUUGGCUUGUGGAAUCUU